UACAGAGACUGCAAGCGUUAUUCGGAUUCACUGGGCGUAAAGGGUGCGCAGGCGGCCAAGUGUGUGAGGCGUGAAAGCCCUGGGCUUAACCUGGGAAUUGCAGUCGAUACUACUCAGCUAGAGUAUGGGAGAGGGCAGUGGAAUUCCCGGUGUAGCGGUGAAAUGCGUAGAUAUCGGGAGGAACAUCAGUGGCGAAGGCGGCUGCCUGGCCCAAUACUGACACUCAGGUGCGACAGCGUGGGGAGCAAACAGG
rnacentral:rRNA from 1 species